rnacentral:rRNA from 1 species
GUACACGCUGUGACUAGCAUAUCAAUAAGCGGAGGAAAAGAAACUAACAAGGAUUCCCCUAGUAACGGCGAGUGAAGCGGGAAGAGCUCAAAUUUGAAAUCUUAAAGGGUUUCCCUUUACGAAUUGUAGUUUAAAGAAGUGUUUUCUGUUGAGGUUUUGGUAAAAGUUCUUUGGAAUAGGACAUCAUAGAGGGUGAGAAUCCCGUAUUUGACCUUUACUUUCAACUUUGUGAUACACUUUCAAAGAGUCGGAUUGUUUGGGAAUGCAGUCCAAAAUGGGUGGUAAAUUUCAUCUAAAGCUAAAUAUUGGCGAGAGACCGAUAGCGAACAAGUACCGUGAGGGAAAGAUGAAAAGAACUUUGAAAAGAGAGUUAAACAGUACGUGAAAUUGUCAAAAGGGAAGCGUUUGACACCAGUGUUGUUUUUCUGAAAAUCAAUUAAAGAACUGUUUAUGCUAAGCUGUUUAGACUUUAUCAGCUAUCUGUUUAGUUUUGAGCUUUUCUUUAAUGCACUUUUCAGUUAACAAGUCAACAUCAAUUUCUUUUGCUGUAAAAAAGCUUGAGGAAGGUGGCUUGAGAUUCGUCUUAAGUGUUUAUAGCCUCUUGCCUAUGCAGUCGGAGAGAUUGAGGUCUGCAGCGUAGAUCCUUCGGGGCUAAAUGCAUUUGUGCUAAGUUAUAGCAUUUUAUAGACAACUUGUUGACUAUGAUUUGUCUUGUAGCUUACUCGCUUAUGUUAUUUUACCUACGCUUAGGAUGUUGAUAUGCAUGACUGAUAU